UAAAGAGUUACACAUGGCCAAGCACUACACUUCAGGGCUCACAGCCCCCUGGGAAGACAAAAAACUAUGAAGAAAAAAAGAAGAAAGGAAGAAGGGUAAAGAAGAGGAGAAAGGAAGGAAAUGUCAGCUCAGUAAGAGCAGGGAUUUUUGUCCAUUUUGUUCAUUGCUUUAUCCAAGUCUCUACAACUGAACUGGUAUAUAAAAAGUACUCAAUAAGCAGUUGCUUAAUAAAUGUAUGAGUAAAGAAAUGAAUAAAUAGUAAAUUAGGCCUGAAUAGUUGAUACUUUUCAGGUCUAAAAUGAAACAAUUAAUGGGAAUAUAUUAUGGAGGAGCACUUCUAAACUUGUUCAUGAAUGACUACAACUUUUACCACUCCCAUCGGCCCCUGUCCCUCCAAAGUUAAAAGCAAAUUAAAGAAUACGCUUGGUUAGAUGUGUAAUCUCAGUUUAGGUAGAACUAUUCUAAUUCUGGUUGUAUUCACUAGUUGCAUAAUCAUUUGAAUAAUAAUUGCCCCCAUGUAGAUUUUUAGAGAGAUUGGGAUAAGAACAGAAAUCAGCUUGUCCCUGGGAAUGGCUACUAUUCAUAAUUGAAUAGAACUGCAUCUUGUAGUUUAAUGCUCAACAACAUCUGAUGGCAGAAUAGCAUGUCUGCUUUGGAAAAAGGUAUUAGACACUCUGCCUGAAGUCUUCCCACUUAUACUGUGACACCUAUAAAGGUUACAAGCACGCUCACAGCAUACCAUUCUACUCAAUAAUCUCUGAGAUUUCUUGACAUUUUUAGCUAAAACUCAUCAGGCUGGAUGACGUUAACAAGACUUCUAUGUUAAUCUCUCUGAUAAUGCAAUGUUAAUUCUCAAAUGUUUCCAACAAAUUAUUAGGGCUGUCGUACUAAACAACUUCUUUUAUAUUGUAUAGCUUAUAUGGGUAUGUUUGAUAAUGCUGUUUAAGCUGCUAAUUCCAACAUAUUUUUAUACUUCUUACACAAAAACACUCAAUUUCAUAUCUGAUUCUAUAUUGUUUGUUUAUCCCAAACUCCUACUCUUGUACUUAUACAUAAAGCUAAACACGUUAGCUUUAUAUCUCAAUGUAAAAGUAGAAUAAUUGGAUGAUCAUAAAUAUAAUCAUUUAUUGAGGCCUAGAAUGUAUACUCCAUACAGAAUUUUUCUCUCUUGCUGACUACUAUAUCUCCAACAACUAAGAAUGUAUGACAUAUUACACACACUCAGAAAAGAUGUGUGGAAUUUAU
rnacentral:lncRNA from 10 species